GAUCCACACAUAGACUUCAUAAGUACUUGACUGUACCCAGUAGUCUUCUGUCACUGUAUUAGAAAUCUAGAUAGUCCGGUACCAAAGCACAGUAAGUUACUUGUAAGUCACUAUGAUGAUCUCAGAUCUGAAGGAUACUUAUAUCCAUGUGUUUCGCGAGCAGCUCUUGACAGCAGAACGCUCAGUAGGUGAGUCACUUGUUCAGUGAUGAUG
rnacentral:lncRNA from 1 species